CCUACGGGCGGCUGCAGUGGGGGAUAUUGCACAAUGGGGGGAACCCUGAUGCAGCGACGCCGCGUGGGUGAAGAAGCGCCUCGGCGCGUAAAGCCCUGUCAGCAGGGAAGAAAAUGACGGUACCUGAAGAAGAAGCCCCGGCUAACUACGUGCCAGCAGCCGCGGGAAUACGUAGGGGGCAAGCGUUAUCCGGAUUUACUGGGUGUAAAGGGGGCGCAGACGGCGAUGCAAGCCAGGAGUGAAAGCCCGGGGCCCAACCCCGGGACUGCUAUUGGAACUGCGUGGCUGGAGUGCAGGAGGGGCAGGCGGAAUUCCUGGUGUAGCGGUGAAAUGCGUAGAUAUCAGGAGGAACACCGGUGGCGAAGGCGGCCUGCUGGACUGCAACUGACGUUGAGGCCCGAAAGCGUGGGGAGCAAACAGGAUUAGAUACCCGUGUAGUC
rnacentral:rRNA from 1 species